rnacentral:rRNA from 1 species
GAUGAACGCUGGCGGCGUGCCUAAUACAUGCAAGUCGAGCGAACGGACGAGAAGCUUGCUUCCCUGAUGUUAGCGGCGGACGGGUGAGUAACACGUGGAUAACCUACCUAUAAGACUGGGAUAACUUCGGGAAACCGGAGCUAAUACCGGAUAAUAUUUUGAACCGCAUGGUUCAAAAGUGAAAGACGGUCUUGCUGUCACUUAUAGAUGGAUCCGCGCUGCAUUAGCUAGUUGGUAAGGUAACGGCUUACCAAGGCAACGAUGCAUAGCCGACCUGAGAGGGUGAUCGGCCACACUGGAACUGAGACACGGUCCAGACUCCUACGGGAGGCAGCAGUAGGGAAUCUUCCGCAAUGGGCGAAAGCCUGACGGAGCAACGCCGCGUGAGUGAUGAAGGUCCUCGGAUCGUAAAACUCUGUUAUUAGGGAAGAACAUAUGUGUAAGUAACUGUGCACAUCUUGACGGUACCUAAUCAGAAAGCCACGGCUAACUACGUG